rnacentral:rRNA from 1 species
UGGGGAAUAUUGGGCAAUGGGCGAAAGCCUGACCCAGCGACGCCGCGUGGGUGAUGAAGGCCUUCGGGUUGUAAAGCCCUGUCAUGUGGAAAGAACGACCCUGAGACGCAUACUCUCAGGGAGUGACGGUACCGCAGGAGGAAGCACCGGCUAACUCCGUGCCAGCAGCCGCGGUAAUACGGAGGGUGCAAGCGUUGUUCGGAAUUAUUGGGCGUAAAGGGCGCGUAGGCGGUAAUGUAAGUCAGAUGUGAAAUACUCCGGCUCAACCAGAGAACAGCAUCUGAAACUGCAUAACUAGAGUACAGAAGAGGGAAGCGGAAUUCCCGGUGUUGAGGUGAAAUUCGUAGAUAUCGGGAGGAACACCAGUGGCGAAGGCGGUUUCCUGGUCUGAUACUGACGCUGAGGCGCGAAAGCGUGGGGAGCAAACAG